ACUGCUCCUGGGCACAGAGCUGAAGGGGAACUGGAGGCUGCGGCGUUCCUCUCUCCGUCCCCCUCUCUCUGGUGACUCAUGUGAUAAGGAACCGACCUUUUGGAGACAUUCUGUGCCCUCAACAAAAACGGCCCCUGUCUGGAAACCCCCCCAAGGAGACUGACUUCCUCCCCUGCUGCCUGGGCUGCGGUAGCUCUUCUGGCACCUGCUCUUCCGGCACCUGCCCUGUGCUGGCCCCUCCUGCAACAAUCGGGAGCCCCCACCUCAGUCGGCGCUGCAGAACCAGCCCAGGAGAGCAGCUGGCCUGUCAUCUGCUGAGGAGCGGAGGCGGCUGUGCCCAGGACUGCAAUGGCCUCCCACACUACCUCACUACCCUGGUCCAGGCUCACUGACAGAUGAGGAAACUGAGGCAGGGGCCCCAGUCUCACGGCCAUUGGUGCAGAGCUGGGAUCCAAGACCGGGUGGGCUCUUUGUUA
rnacentral:lncRNA from 1 species